AGAGUUUGAUCCUGGCUCAGAAUCAACGCUGGCGGCGUGCCUCAGACAUGCAAGUCGAACGCGAAAGCUCCCUUCGGGGAGCAAGUAGAGUGGCGCACGGGUGAGUAACACGUAGGUAAUCUACCUUUGGAUUGGGAAUAACAACCGGAAACGGUUGCUAAUACCGAAUAAUGCAGCGGCACCUAAUGGUGACAGUUGUUAAAGCGGGGGAUCGCAAGACCUCGCGUCUGAAGAGGAGCCUGCGGCGGAUUAGCUAGUUGGUAAGGUAACGGCUUACCAAGGCGAUGAUCCGUAGCCGGCCUGAGAGGGCGGUCGGCCACACUGACACUGACAUACGGGUCAGACUCCUACGAGAGGCAGCAGUCGGGAAUUUUGGGCAAUGGGCGAAAGCCUGACCCAGCAACGCCGCGUGAAGGAUGAAAUCCUUCGGGAUGUAAACUUCGCAAGAACGGGAAGAAUAAGUAAGAGUUAAUAUCUCUUACGAUGACGGUACUGUUUGUAAGCUCCGGCUAACUCCGUGCCAGCAGCCGCGGUAAUACGGGGGGAGCAAGCGUUGUUCGGAUUUACUGGGCGUAAAGGGCGCGUAGGCGGCCACCGCAAGUCGACUGUGAAAUCUCUGGGCUUAACCCAGAACGGUCAGCCGAUACUGCGGGGCUAGAGUGCAGAAGGGGCAACUGGAAUUCUCGGUGUAGCGGUGAAAUGCGUAGAUAUCGAGAGGAACACCUGCGGCGAAGGCGGGUUGCUGGGCUGACACUGACGCUGAGGCGCGAAAGCUAGGGGAGCGAACGGGAUUAGAUACCCCAGUAGUCC
rnacentral:rRNA from 1 species